ACUCUCGACAACGGAUAUCCCGGCUCUCGCAUCGAUGAAGAACGUAGCGAAAUGCGAUACUUGGUGUGAAUUGCAGAAUCCCGUGAACCAUCGAGUCUUUGAACGCAAGUUGCGCCCGAAGCCAUUAGGCCGAGGGCACGUCUGCCUGGGUGUCACGC
rnacentral:rRNA from 23 species